CUUCCUUCGUUAAAUAUUUCUUACGAAAAGAAAUGUUGUUGGUAAAUGUGUUACCCUUGUCUGAAAUAUUACAGACAUUUGUUGAAUUAGUAAGACAAAACUUGGCCAUGCCACACCAUUUUGUCCCCUUAAGUUGAUAUCGUAACCAGAGCCCACUUUCCUCUUGGUCAGCACCGAGAAACGAGGGAUGCGGGCACGGGAUUGCCCCAUGAGUAAGCUGGAACAGAAAAUUAGCAUUAUCAAAGUAGUGUAUUAUUUUAAUCGACAAAGCCUUUUGCCCAUCCCAAAAGCUUGGAGAUCAAGACAAAGAGCACUGUACGAUUACAAGGACGGUGCCUCUCAAAACUAGGCUACGAUGCACCUUAUUUCCCAUGCCCCUGGAAACGCCGAACGACACGUGAUUAUGACUUAAAGAUUGACGUUUCGAGGAAGUUUCAAGACAGGGUUGCAUGAGAGUAGAGGGGUGUUUGAUGGAACUACUCUGAAAAGAUCAGUUAUGACUCUAUAAUAUAUAGAAGUUUGUUCGACGACUAUGAAA